UAUUGUUUGCUAACACUGGCAGCAAGGAUCUCUGGCAGAGGGAUUCCACGUCACCCACCUCCUGGCCCUUUUUAGCUGGAGAUGUCAGAGAUUGAACCCAGGACCAUUUGCAAGCCAAGCAGAUGCUCUUCCACUGAGCCACAACCUCCUUGAUUCCCUCUUGUCAGCUCCCUUAUCAUUCAGAUCUACCACAUCUGGGGAUUCUCUUUACAACCACACCGUUUCCUUUCAAAAAUAUCUUUGCAAGAAGCAUCAAAGUAUCUUUGCAAGAAGAUGCAAAGAUAAAAGACAAGGUUCUGCAAGCAAUUCUGCAAUCAACUCAGAAGAGCCAGGGUAGAAGCAGCAAGCUCAGUAUAAGUGGGAGAGGACCUGGCACAAACACAGUGAAGGUGACUCUCUCAGGAGCAAAGAGGAAGAUGAGGGUGUGCCAAAAAGUGAGAGAUGUAAUCUUCAGGAAGAGGCUGUUACUUCCAGUCCCAUCCCCAAGCAGAACAGAAGGCCAGCUCAAGAGCCAGUGGACUGAACACGACAUGAAACCAUCCCUCCAAAAUGCUGGGCCUCUUAAGAUGCAGUAGGCACUAGUUCCCAACAGAACCUGCAGUAUGCCAGAUGCUGUAGAGAACACGGCAACCUGAUCUCUGGCCAGGAGGUAUCGAAGGAUUUGGAGCGCCUUCCUUUCCUUUUUUCAGGAUCAGAGGACCAACCUCUGAUCUAAGCAACAAGCUCUUUCAGGGCUCAAUAGACAAAAGCUCUGCUCACCCAGACACUGCUCCUGCUCCUCUUCAACAACAAAAGACGACAAUGCAGAGACUGUAGGAGUGGCUUGAAAAUAGAUUUGUGCCUUGUCACAUGGCAAGGGGCUGGCCACAGGGCCUCCUGGUCCCUUCCAGCUGAGUGACUGGGCAGUCCCGCAGCGAAACUCAAAGGAAGACAGACCAGUUGAUAAAAUCAGAAUUGUCAUCUAGUAGCUGACCCGGAUGGAUUCUGACCAAAUUAGAAGAAAUAUAUACAAUUCAGGAGGAAGGGAGACGAGGUGCUUUAUAUUUUCCAGUCAUCAUCUGCAUCUCGUUCACCACUGAAUGAAACAGGCAGCGUUUAAGACAAGAUGUUUAGUCACACUAGCAAUUCCCCCCACCUGACACACACACACAACUCACCAAUCUAUUGAGUCCAACUGGAUCAAUCAAAGACACACAUGCUCAAUACUGUAACUGACAAAUCACUAGUAGUGGGGGAUGGGAAAUUUUCAAGCAGCAACUUUUUUGCAGAUGAUUCUAAGAGCAGAGUGGAUUAACAAAAAGUGGCAUAUCAUGGACAGUUCUUAGCAUCUCUGUGUCUUGAUGUUUCUCUUUAAAUUUUAAAAACACAAAGCAGGAGAGUCCUGUUAUGAAUACCCCAAUAAAAAUAGAUCCCACAUUAAACUUUACAUUCAUUUGUACAUUUGCUCCACAUUAGAUGUGCUUUGCUCUGAUCUGGUGGCCCAGGUUAGCAGGAUCUUGUCAGAUCUCAAAAGCUAAGUAGGGUUGGCCAAGAUUAGGAUGACAGAUAACAGAUUACAAAGGGAGUCCAGGUUGCUACACAGAGGCAGGCAAUGGCAAACCAACUCUGAACAACGUUUGCCUUGGAAGCCCUACAGGGUAACCAUAAGUGGGCUGCAACUGAACAACACUUUCUACUACCAAGUGUGCUUUAUGGAUUGGGGGAGGGGAGGCCUAAUCUGUUUAUCAUCAAUGACAUAUGUAGUUUGAUUAGAGUUGUUGAUGCUGUAUUGUGAAUUUGCUACAUAUAAUGUAAUGUUCAUUUAAAUUUAUAAUGUUAU